rnacentral:antisense_RNA from 1 species
GAACCACCAGACAAUGGAAUAAGAAAGCAGAACACAGUGUAAUUCUCAAGCACGAAUAUAGUUUAGGUUUGGCAAGAGGACUAGGGGAGACCCGGAGUGAAUGCCACACCCCGGAUGGCCAUGGGAAUGGAAAGCCAAACACCUCUCCAGGGGACACUGAUGAUGACAUGCCAAGAUGUUACUUGGAUUCUGAGGCCCUGGACUCCCACUGGGACACUGACUGGGAGAUUCUUAGAGCACUGAGACGAUUGGCCCUCCACCUUCCCAGCGGCUCUUUGGGAAAAGAUGGCCAUUGCAUGAAGCGGGGCUCUCAAAGAGAAGCCCCAGGUCACCUGUUGCAACAGAAUUGCCUGGGAGCUCCAAGACCCAGCCCCAGCCCAUACCCAAUGAGUCUGAAUCUCCAGGAGGUGCCCGGGCAUCUGCACAUCCAGCAAGUUCCCAGCUUCACAUUGUAGGGCUCCACCUCUCUCCAUCCCCAGGAUUUUCAGGGGCACAGCAAAGUGUCCACCAUGAGCUGCCUUCACCCCAGCCCUUGGGACCAUGUGGGAACCGGGUGGGAACUCUGGGAUCCUGCGAC